rnacentral:rRNA from 1 species
UGACGGUAGUCGUAUGCUCGUCUCCGAGACUAAGCCAUGCAAGUCCAAGUACACGUCCUUGAACGACGGAAACUGCGAACGGCUCAUUAAAUCAGUUGCGAUCUACUCGGCGUUCCGCGCCGCCGGAUAACCGUAGUAAUUCUAGGGCUAAUACGUGCGAAGCGCCCGAAGCCGCGAGGCGACGGGCGUUCUCGCCGGAUGUAGGAACCGACCCGGGGACCGCCCGGGGGCAACCCCGGCGCCCCCCGAGACGGGGGCGAACCACGGUGAAAUGACGGAUCGUCGGCCCCGCGCCGGCGACUCGCCGAAUGAGUUUCUGACCUAUCAACUCGAGACGGCGGGGUAGAGGCCCGCCGCGGUAACGACGGGUAACGGGGAAUCAGGUUCGAUUCCGGAGAGGGAGCCCGAGAAACGGCUACCACUUCCAAGGAAGGCAGCAGGCGCGCAACUUACCCUAAU